AUCUGUUCACUACUCUGAGUUGGAACGUGUGAGAUCUGAGUGUAGCCUGCCUGAGCUCAAGAUUGUAGGGAACCGAGUAGGCACAUGGUUGCUCAUUUGUAAGUGUGAUCCCACUUGAGAAAGAGAUAAAGAGAGAGACAGAGAGAAAAGAGGGAAAGGUGCCAGAGUCAGUGUAAGAGAGACAGGGAGAGAGUGUAAAGCAUUUCCACCUGUAGUACAAUGGAAGACUGUGCAGUGUCUUUCUGGAUUUACAUCGGAGUGAUGUCCAUCCUUGCUGGUGGAGCGGUGAAGAAGUUUCUGGCAUUCCACAUCGGUGCCAUGCCCUCAAUAGUGGUAUGGCUUGGUGCCACUCUGCUGGUGGAGAGACUGUGUACCCUGUGCAUGCCUGCUGUGCUGGCAAGAUUGGUCCUCUGUGUGUCCUGCUGGCUGUACUUUACGUGGGCCACCCCAAAACCCCUCCUGCCAGUUGAAGGCAAGGCUGUCUUCAUCACAGGUUGUGAUUCAGGGUUUGGUAACGCUACAGCAAAACGGUUAGAUGCCAUGGGGUUUGAAGUGUUUGCGACCGUAUUGAACUUGGAUGGAGAGGGAGCCAAGCACUUGCGCAGAGUCUGUUCAUCACGCCUUACCCUCCUUCAGGUAGACAUCACCCAGCCUCAGCAGGUACAGCAAGCCCUGCUUGACACCAAGGCCAAACUUGGUAUGAGAGAUUUGUGGGGGCUUGUUAAUAACGCUGGAUGGUGUGUGAACAUUGGGGAUGUUGAGCUCUCACUGAUGUCCACCUACAGAGGAUGCAUGGAGGUUAACUUCUUUGGAACACUCAACGUCACCAGGACCUUCCUGCCACUUCUCAGACAGGCUAAAGGCCGGAUUGUGACAAUCUCCAGCCCUUCAGGUGAGCAUCCCUUCCCUUGUUUGGCGUCGUACGGGGCUUCAAAAGCUGCUCUGAAUCUUUUUACCAACACACUUCGUCAUGAGUUGGAGCCAUGGGGUGUCAAAGUCUCCACAAUUUUACCCUCUGCCUUUAAGACAGGGCAGAGCAGUAACACAGAGUACUGGGAAAAACAGUACAAGAACCUGAUCCAGGACUUGCCUCCAAGCCUUCUAGAAGAAUAUGGAGAAGAAUACCUGCUGGAGACCAAGGAACUGUUCCAGAGUUAUGCAAAAACGGCCAAAGAGGACCUGAGCCCUGUCAUCGACACCAUUGUGGAUGCCCUCCUCUCUUCUCAACCCCAGGUGCGAUACUAUGCCGGGCCGGGUUUAUCGCUCAUGUACUUCAUCUGCAGCUACUUGCCUUUGAGCAUCAGUGACAGAUUCCUCCAGAAACUCUUUGUACAGAAGAAAGUGAUGCCUCGUGCCAUUAGGAAACAACAAGGCCUGAGCCUCAACGACAAUAACAACAGCAUAAAGGAGAACAUGAAUAACAGUAACAACAACAACAGCUUCACAAAGAUUAUCAAUUAGUUCUGGUAAAAAGUGUAAAGCCAUCCAUUAGCACCACUAAUGUGAUCUACUUAUAGAGAUAUGUUUCCAAUGUGUAUACUCUACUUUUCUCAUGUCUUCAUUUUGUUGUAUAUAUUGUGUAAUAUGUUGAGGGGAUCACUGAAUUGCACCAAAUCAUCUAUGGCAAACCCAGUGCUUAAAAGGCAGUUGACACUCAUGAGCAUAAUAAAAAAAAGAGGUCAUGCCCACAGGCCAUAUUAUAAUUAAUAAAAGUUCUCAGGUGAGGCAAAAUCCAAACAGAUAACAUAAGGUUUAUGCAUUUCUCAGAAGACAUAAAUUCUGGGUGUUCAGCACGGAGACACCUUAAUUGAGUUUGGUGUGAAAUUUCAGUUUCGCUAAGGCAUGGAAGAUCAUCAACAGCCAAACACCCGAUACUGGACCGAGAGGCUGAUGAUAAUGUUACUGUGAUCAAACCAGGGUUAAAUGUGGUCAGAGUGCAACAUAAAGUAAAUAUUGGGUUGUUUUUUUUUUUAUUAGUUUUUUUUUUUAAGUGACCAAUGGGCUGAAGUGGUUCCUAAAGUCAGAAGUCCUUUUUUAAAUGUAUUGUACUCCAUAGUUUUGCAUUUGUUAUAUUUGCUUAUUUUUUCCAUGUCACAUUGUUUGGCAUAUUUAAGCCAUUUUGUUUUUAGAUAAAUCACUUAAACUGUGAAUUUUAUACAAAUAUGGGCGAAAAACGAAAAAAAAAAUUUGUUAGUAGUGUAUUAAAGAUGACUUUUUAAAUAA